AUAAUGAUUUGAAAGCCUCUUAGUUAAUUUAUUUUGACGGAUUCUGGAAAAUCUGGUUUAUUUCAAGUUCUGUGGAAAUACCUAGAAUUAUUAAGACGCCAAUGAAGGAACACGUUGAAACUUUUCUUAAUGAGGUAUUUCUUGGAAACUACAUGUUUUUACCUAAUUGGCAAACAUGACUGAGGUCAUCUAACUGCGCCUUAUGACUGUAUGAAACAGGAGAGAAGACUCAGAGAUAGCAGAAAGAGUGAAUUGUCAUGGUGGCAGAUUGUGGGAAUCCUUGAAGAAGACAUUUGCAGUUCUGGGAAAGAUUGUCAAGGAUCGUAUGAAUUCUUCACUACUUUGAGCUAGGAAUGGAGAGUAAAAGGAGUGUGUUUAGGUGCAGACGUUCCUGUUUAUACCCCUUGAGGCAGAGGAAAAGGAAUGUGGUCAGGAACAAUAUGUAAGUCUUGAAAACUUCAGCCUCUCACUCACCUUUCGCCACCCAGGCCUCCAGAUUCUUCCCGUCUCCCACAUGCCACCUGCAUAUCUACAUAAACAGUAUCUAAUAUGUAUGAUCCUCUGGAGCCAUGCAAUGGCAAUGAGAAUUAUUUUAAAUUCAG